AAAAAUCCCAUAUAAAUGCACGUGGGCGCGCUUUGAAGAUUCUCUCGGUGACCAGUGGUCGAAGCGAAAGCCACGCUGCCGCAGUGGACGAUGUAAGGUAUGCGCUGAAGCUGUUGGCUGACGGGCCUGCAGGCACACGAGGCCUGGGGAACCCUGAAAAGGGGAUGUCCAGUCCCCUAGCAGGUGCCCAGAAAAUGUCGAUUUUGUCCUGGCAUGCAGGUAUGAUGUGCUGGGGCCCAAGACAAAUGUGGAUCUAAUGAGGUUUGUAUUGAAGACCAUCUGAAGGGUUUUCUGCGUCAUCUGAGGUUUUCUUGUUAGUGUUGAAAAUCUGUAAUCCUGGGGCUUUUGUUUUUGCUACUGUGUUGACAAAUUUGCUGACAUGGGGUGCGUUUCUCAACGUUAUUGCUAUCUAUAGUCAGUAAGCAAUUUGUUUAGCAACUCAAUAGGUUUCUCAUGGUGAAUUGCAUUGCAACCAAGCAAGUUGUUACCUUGGGUAGCAAUGACUCAUACCCCAGAGUUACUCAAGUGUCAUGACCAACUCUGUUUUCCAAUGGGAAUUUGCAUUGCUCUUAAACAAGUAGUUCUAAUUUACAAAUGACACUUAACACACCCCUGUCCAUCUCCAUUUGUUUACUGACUAAUGGUUGGGUUUAUAUUUACUGGGAUUGGGACUGUGCUUAGCUGGGGGGCAGUCUAGGGUCAAUGCUUACAAGUUGUAUGCUUGGCAAGGGAACUCAUUUCAAGACCUAAAAGUAAUUUGACUUGUUAACGGAGGCAUUCCUGCCAACAAAUGUGAGGUUUUACUUUUCAAUAAAUGGAAUAAGUGAA